AUUGAACGCUGGCGGCAGGCCUAACACAUGCAAGUCGAGCGUGCGGCGGACGGGUGAGUAAUGUCCGGGAAACUGCCUGACGGAGGGGGAUAACCACUGGAAACGGUAGCUAAUCCUGCAUCCCAUCAGAUGUGCCCCGAUGGGAUUGGCUAGUAGGUGGGGUAACUGCUCACCUUGGCGACGAUCCCUAGCUGGUGUGAGAGGAUGACCAGCCACACUGGAACUGGGACACGGUCCAGACUCCUACGGGAGGCAGCCGUGGGAAAUAUUGGACAAGGGGCGAAAGCCUGAUGCAGCCAUGCCGCGUGUGUGAAGAAGGCCUUCGGGUUGUAAAGCACUUUCAGCGGGGAGGCGUUACCCGCAGAAGAAGCACCGGCUAACUCCGUGCCAGCAGCCGCGGUAAUUC
rnacentral:rRNA from 1 species